UGCCCAGCAACUCCUAUCCCUACCUCCUCGUGGUACCGGCCGGAAACUAUGAGCAACCAGGGAAGAUCGGGUAGCCAACCCCGGUGGGAGCUUUGGACGUAGGCUGACAGGGAAAG
rnacentral:ribozyme from 1 species